rnacentral:rRNA from 1 species
AUUGAACGCUGGCGGCAUGUCUUACACAUGCAAGUCGAACGGCAGCACGGGAGCAAUCCUGGUGGCGAGUGGCGAACGGGUGAGUAAAGUAUCGGAACGUGCCCAGUCGUGGGGGAUAACGUAGCGAAAGUUACGCUAAUACCGCAUACGAUCUAUGGAUGAAAGCGGGGGAUCGCAAGACCUCGCGCGAUUGGAGCGGCCGAUAUCAGAUUAGGUAGUUGGUGGGGUAAAGGCCCACCAAGCCGACGAUCUGUAGCUGGUCUGAGAGGACGACCAGCCACACUGGGACUGAGACACGGUCCAGACUCCUACGGGAGGCAGCAGUGGGGAAUUUUGGACAAUGGGCGAAAGCCUGAUCCAGCCAUGCCGCGUGCAGGAUGAAGGCCUUCGGGUUGUAAACUGCUCUUGUACGGAACGAAAAGGACUGCCCUAAUACGGUGGUCCCAUGACGGUACCAUAAGAAUAAGCACCGGCUAACUACGUGCCAGCCGCCGCGGUAA